GAAAAGUUAGUUUAACCAAAACAUUAACUUGUCAAGUUAAAAAUAAUUUUAUUACUUUUCU
rnacentral:tRNA from 1 species